UGAGUAACACGUAUCCAACCUGCCGAUAACUCGGGGAUAGCCUUUCGAAAGAAAGAUUAAUAUCCGAUAGUAUAUUAAAACCGCAUGGUUUUACUAUUAAAGAAUUUCGGUUAUCGAUGGGGAUGCGUUCCAUUAGUUUGUUGGCGGGGUAACGGCCCACCAAGACUACGAUGGAUAGGGGUUCUGAGAGGAAGGUCCCCCACAUUGGAACUGAGACACGGUCCAAACUCCUACGGGAGGCAGCAGUGAGGAAUAUUGGUCAAUGGACGAGAGUCUGAACCAGCCAAGUAGCGUGAAGGAUGACUGCCCUAUGGGUUGUAAACUUCUUUUAUAUGGGAAUAAAGUUUUCCACGUGUGGAAUUUUGUAUGUACCAUAUGAAUAA
rnacentral:rRNA from 1 species